GGCACUGUGGCGGAGUGGUUAACGCGACAGAUUCGAAUCUAUGAUGUUAACCGAUUCAUCUGUUCCACUUGUUGGGCGCAUGUUCGAAUCAUGCCAGUGUCG